rnacentral:misc_RNA from 1 species
UCGAGUUUUAGAACUCCCAAACCCCAUGUGAACCUAUACCUGUUUUUUUGCCGUUGCCUCGGCGGGCUCCAUGGGCCUGCCGGGGGGACAGAAACGUAACUCUUUGCAUCUAUAAGGCAUGUCUGAGUGGUUAUCAUAAGAAAUAGUCA